rnacentral:rRNA from 1 species
GAUGAACGCUGGCGGCGUGCCUAAUACAUGCAAGUCGAGCGCACGGACGAGAAGCUUGCUUCUCUGAUGUUAGCGGAGGACGGGUGAGUAACACGUGGAUAACCUACCUAUAAGACUGGGAUAACUUCGGGAAACCGGAUCUAAUACCGGAUAAUAUUUUGAACCGCAUGGUUCAAAAGUAAAAUACGGUCUUGCUGUCACUUAUAGAUGGAUCCGCGCUUCAUUAGCUAGUUGGUAAGGUACCGGCUUACCAAGGCAACGAUGCAUAGCCGGCCGGAGAGGUGGAUCGGCCACACUGGAACUUGGACACCGUCCUGAGUCCUAAGGGAGGCAGCAGUAGGGAAUCUUCCGCAAUGGGCGAAAGCCUGACGGAGCAACGCCGCGUGAGUGAUGAAGGUCUUGGGAUCGUAAAACUCUCUUAUUAGGGAAGAACAUAUGUGUAAGUAACUGUGCACAUCUUGACGGUACCUAAUCAGAAAGCCACGGCUAACUACGUG